rnacentral:misc_RNA from 1 species
CUUGGCCUUGGUUCAUUUUGAUUUACAUGCAAAUUAGAGAUUAAUAUAAUGAAACUGAACCUUCUAAGCUGAUGAAACUGAGAUGGGCAUUGCCUCUUCUGGUGCAACCUCUAGGCCUGAAUGCCCAUUCAUAUUAUGGCAAGGCUUGUUGUUUAACUCCCAAAAUUUGGCAGUUCUCAUAUCGUCUAUUGCCAUCAUUUUUGAGAACUCCUCAUGGUCAUAUGUUAGAGUGGCUUUUCCUCCAAAGACACUAGGAAGAUUUUCCAUAUCGAAGAAAGAUUUCAUUAGCUCUACACUGUCCUCGUUGUUGGGGUAUAUAAAGUUUACUUUCUGAGCCAUCUUCGGGUCAAGAAAGUACCUGAUAGCCUUCCAAAAGGCUUGAAAGAUUCUUGGAGGAUUGUAGAGAAACGAAAUAGCAAGCCUUUCUGGAUAGUGGCUCUGCAGUAUGUUAAUAAUGCCUCUUGCUGCUUUGACAGAGAUGUUGGUGUUUAGUGUAAAUCCAGUAAAAUCUAUCAGCCACGAUAUCUGUUCUUGGCCAUUACGAAGGUUCAAAAUGGUGUUCUCUAAAAGAUACACUACAUGUCGAACGUUGUCUUCCGGCGAGUUUGUAUUCUGCAUCCCUGGCCUGGAUAUGAGCACUGUUCGACCAAAACGGUCGUAGAAAUUUGCUCUAAAACAUUUGCCCGUUUCACCUUCAUGUGCUACUUCGUGCCAUCUGAUUUCCUCAGGCUUAUAAGUUGCCCUCCAUUUGAGUGAGUCCUCCACCAUUUUCUUUGCCUUGUGAAGAUCCCAAUUCCGAGCAACCAAAUAUCUCCGAAGGCACGCAUCAUUACAGUACUUUAAACUACGACCGGAUAUGUGUCCUAAGGCAGCUCUUAGUUCAUUGAUCU